UGUGAAGAGACCCCAUAGGACAGAUGUGUU
rnacentral:piRNA from 1 species